GUACAUCCUCUAAGAUGAAGUAUAGGCACUGGCCAUGAUCUAUAGGUUGUUCCCUCAGUAGCUGUCUGACACGGGUCCAGAAACCAAGAAGUAGAAGUAGGAUCGACCCUCCCCACCAUCACUCCAUAAGGUGUCUACUGACCUUGAAGCUCCACCUACCUGGACCCUUUGGAAUCCUAUGCCAGUGGGCCAGUAAGCAAACGUUAUCAGCUGUGAGUGCUAAUUGACUCUGCCAUGAAGAGCUGGGGUUGCUACAUGAUGGGCACAAGAAGGACUAUGACUGAAUCUCAGAGGUUCCAUGCCCAGUGACAAUGACAUUGUAGCUGACCACCUUCUUGAUGGAGACUCUGUGGAUUGGACUUAGGGAAGGCGAGAACAGUGAUAUAAGGAGCCCUCUUGUGCACCACUUCAAAUCCUUUUAGCUCUUACUCCAGCCACUGCUUUGGUAACCAGCUUUGCACAGACGUCAACCAGUUCUUUGCCUGUACAACAUGACAGUGCCUUGUCUUGGGCCCAGUGCUACAUAUGUCUUAGUCUGUCCUUGAUGCUGUUGGCACGUACACAGGUGUAACCCAAAAUACAGGGAGGUUUAAGGUUUGUGGGGUAUUCUUACAGUCUAAGGCUCAGAUCAAUGGAGGAUGCAAGCCAAAGGAUAAAUCGUUCCUCUUUCAUCCCCCAAGCACACAGCUCUGAGAUGCAUGCAUGAGACUUACUAGAAAGUCCUCUAGUUUGAGCACCCGUCGCAGAUAGCCUGGCCAACUCACGAACACAGCCAUCCUUCCCUGUUUCAUUUCCUUGUUCUUCACUCUUGCUCCCAGAGACACAUUCCCAAAUAAACUGCCCACGUGAAAGCCUUUGUCUCAGUCUCUGUUUUGGAGGAAACUAAGAUAAGAUGCAUGGCCACACCUAAUAACUGCAGAAGAGGCUGGAGAAAUCACAUCACAGGGCAGCUAUAUGUCCAGUUUCCAUUACUACGGAAGACGAGGGAGCAGAUUUGGUGGCCAGCUAGCAGUCUCCACUCCAGCAGGAAAGUGCUGAAACAUUUGACAGACGCCCCAGCCAAAGAGUUAAAAAUAAUAGAAGUUUUGAUGCUUAAAAGGAUAAGUAGUACAACUACCAUUGUCCAAAGAGAAGAGGACAUUUCCUUGGCUGUGACCAGCAGAGUGGAGAGAGAAGAGGAGAAUGCCAAGGGUCAGAUGGCUGGAAUGUGACCACACUUAGCUACCAGGAAGGAAAGGAUGAGCCAUUAAAGG
rnacentral:lncRNA from 1 species